rnacentral:rRNA from 1 species
CGGGGGACAUUGUUAGGUGGGCAGUUUGACUGGGGCGGUCGCCUCCUAAAGAGUAGCGGAGGCGUUCAAAGGUUCGCUCGUCUGGACGGAAACCAGGAGAGAGAGUGCAAACGCAAAAGCCAGCCUGACUGCGAGACUGACGGGUCGAGCAGAGACGAAAGUCGGAGUUAGUGAUCCGGUGGUAUGUGAGUGGAAAUGCCAUCGCUCAACGGAUAAAAGUUACCCUGGGGAUAACAGGCUGAUCUCCCCCAAGAGUCCACAUCGACGGGGAGGUUUGGCACCUCGAUGUCGGCUCAUCGCAUCCUGGGGCUGUAUUCGGUCCCAAGGGUUUGGCUGUUCGCCAAUUAAAGCGGUACGCGAGCUGGGUUCAGAACGUCGUGAGACAGUUCGGUCCCUAUCUGUCGUGGGCGCAGGAUAUUUGAAAGGCGCUGUCCCUAGUACGAGAGGACCGGGAUGGACGAACCUCUGGUGCACCAGUUGUCACGCCAGUGGCACAGCUGGGCAGCUAUGUUCGGAUCGGAUAAACGCUGAAAGCAUCUAAGCGUGAAGCCGGCCUUAAGAUAAGAUAUCCCACUGAGAUCAAUCAGGUAAGACCCCUUGAAGACUACAAGGUUGAUAGGCACAAUGUGUAAGUGGCGUGAGUCAUUGAGCAAGCGUGUACUAAUAGGUCGAGGGCUUGACCCC